AGAAUCAACGCUGGCGGCGUGCCUAACACAUGCAAGUCGAACGAGAAAGUGGAGCAAUCCAUGAGUAAAGUGGCGACCGGGUGAGUAACACGUGACUAACCUACCCUCGAGUGGGGAAUAACAUCGGGAAACCGAUGCUAAUACCGCAUAACAUCGCAAGAUCAAAGCAGAAAUGCGCUUGAGGAGGGGGUCGCGGCUGAUUAGCUAGUUGGUAGGGUAAUGGCCUACCAAGGCUUAGAUCGGUAGCCGGCCUGAGAGGGCGCACGGCCACACUGGAACUGAAACACGGUCCAGACUCCUACGGGAGGCAGCAGUGGGGAAUUUUGCGCAAUGGGGGAAACCCUGACGCAGCAACGCCGCGUGGAGGAUGAAGCCCCUUGGGGCGUAAACUCCUUUCGACCAAGACGAUAAUGACGGUACUGGUGGAAGAAGCACCGGCUAACUCUGCGCCAGCAGCCGC
rnacentral:rRNA from 1 species